rnacentral:sRNA from 1 species
UAUAAAUGCUACCUAGACACUAAAGCACCACUGUAUUCCUAGCAAGAUACCCUUCAAAGGAAAGGGGCCCAUCUUAUUUCUUCACUGUUAAUAUGAAAUGAAUCCAGUUGUUCUUCAGAUAUCCUUAAUAUCUACAGAUGGUAACUUAAAAACUCAUUCUAGGGAAAGCUACUAUUACCUCCAGGCACGGAUGGUGGCAAAGAAGGCCCACGAGUCCUGAAUGGCAGCCCACAGCAGGAAGACGGGGGACUGGCCGGUAUCACAGAGCAGCAGUCAGGUGCCUUUGACAGAUGGGAGCUGAUUCAAGCACAAGAGCUUCACAAUAAGCUCAAAAUAAAACAAAAUUUGCAACAGCUGAACUCUGAUAUCAGCGCCAUCACUACUUGGCUGAAAAAAACUGAAGCAGAGCUGGAAAUGUUAAAGAUGGCAAAGCCUCCCUCUGAUAUCCAGGAAAUAGAAGUGAGAGUGAAGAGACUGCAGGAGAUACUGAAAGCCUUUGACACUUACAAGGCAUUAGUGGUCUCUGUCAAUGUGAGCAGCAAGGAAUUUCUGCAAACCGAGAGCCCCGAAUCCACAGAGCUCCAAAGUAGACUCCGCCAGCUGAGCCUGCUCUGGGAAGCAGCACGGAGCGCAGUGGACAGCUGGAGAGGGGGCUUACGACAGUCGCUCAUGCAGUGCCAGGGCUCUAAGACACGGCCGCGCUCUGAUGUGUGUUGUUUUUUAAGGACUUCCACCAGUUGAGUCAAAAUCUGCUGCUGUGGUUAGCGAGUGCCGAGAACCGGAGGCAGAAGGCUCAUGUCACCGAUCCGAAGGUAGACCCCCAGGCUCUCCUGGAGUGUCGGAGGGAACUAAUGCAACUGGAAGAGGAGCUGGUAGAACGUCAACCUCAAGUGGACAUGUUACAGGAGAUUUCAAACAGCCUUCUCAUUAAGGGACAUGGAGAAGACUAUAUUGAAGCUGAAGAAAAGGUGCAUGUUAUUGAGAAGAAACUCAAACAGUUACAGGAGCAAGUGUCCCAAGAUUUAAUGGCCUUGCAGGGAACCCAG